AGUCGAGGGGCAGCAUUUCAGUUUGCUUGCAAACUGGAGAUGGCGACCGGCGCACGGGUGAGUAACACGCUAUCCAACCUGCCGAUAACUCGGGGAUAGCCUUUCGAAAGAAAGAUUAAUACCCGAUGGUAUAAUCAGACCGCAUGGUCUUAUUAUUAAAGAAUUUCGGUUAUCGAUGGGGAUGCGUUCCAUUAGGCAGUUGGUGAGGUAACGGCUCACCAAACCUUCGAUGGAUAGGGGUUCUGAGAGGAAGGUCCCCCACAUUGGAACUGAGACACGGUCCAAACUCCUACGGGAGGCAGCAGUGAGGAAUAUUGGUCAAUGGGCGCAGGCCUGAACCAGCCAAGUAGCGUGAAGGAUGACUGCCCUAUGGGUUGUAAACUUCUUUUAUAUGGGAAUAAAGUUUUCCACGUGUGGAAUUUUGUAUGUACCAUAUGAAUAAGGAUCGGCUAACUCCGUGCCAGCAGCCGCGGUAAUACGGAGGAUCCGAGCGUUAUCCGGAUUUAUUGGGUUAAAAGGGAGCGUAGGUGGACAGUUAAGUCAGUUGUGAAAGUUUGCGGCUCAACCGUAAAAUUGCAGUUGAUACUGGCUGUCUUGAGUACAGUAGAGGUGGGCGGAAUUCGUGGUGUAGCGGUGAAAUGCUUAGAUAUCACGAAGAACUCCGAUUGCGAAGGCAGCUCACUGGACUGCAACUGACACUGAUGCUCGAAAGUGUGGGUAUCAAACAGGAUUAGAUACCCUGGUAGUCCACACAGUAAACGAUGAAUACUCGCUGUUUGCGAUAUACAGUAAGCGGCCAAGCGAAAGCAUUAAGUAUUCCCACCUGGGGAGUACGCCGGCAACGGUGAAACUCAAAGGAAUUGACGGGGGCCCGCACAAGCGGAGGAACAUGUGGUUUAAUUCGAUGAUACGCGAGGAACCUUACCCGGGCUUAAAUUGCAUUUGAAUAAUNUGGAAACAGGUUAGCCGCAAGGCAAAUGUGAAGGUGCUGCAUGGUUGUCGUCAGCUCGUGCCGUGAGGUGUCGGCUUAAGUGCCAUAACGAGCGCAACCCUUAUCUUUAGUUACUAACAGGUCAUGCUGAGGACUCUAGAGAGACUGCCGUCGUAAGAUGUGAGGAAGGUGGGGAUGACGUCAAAUCAGCACGGCCCUUACGUCCGGGGCUACACACGUGUUACAAUGGGGGGUACAGAAGGCAGCUACCUGGUGACAGGAUGCUAAUCCCAAAAGCCUCUCUCAGUUCGGAUCGAAGUCUGCAACCCGACUUCGUGAAGCUGGAUUCGCUAGUAAUCGCGCAUCAGCCAUGGCGCGGUGAAUACGUUCCCGGGCCUUGUACACACCGCCCGUCAAGCCAUGAAAGCCGGGGGUACCUGAAGUACGUAACCGCAAGGAG
rnacentral:rRNA from 1 species